rnacentral:rRNA from 1 species
GACGAACCGUGCAAACGUUAUUCGGAAUCACUGGGCUUAAAGGGUGCGUAGGCGGGUUGCCAAGUCUGUGGUGAAAUCCUUCAGCUUAACUGGAGAACUGCCGUGGAUACUGGCGACCUCGAGGGGUGUAGGGGCUUGCGGAACUGUGCGUGGAGCGGUGAAAUGCGUUGAUAUGCACAGGAACUCCGGUGGCGAAAGCGGCGAGCUGGACACCUUCUGACGCUGAGGCGCGAAAGCGUGGGGAGCAAACAGG